UUUUUUUUUUUUUUUUUGGGCUAAGAUCAAGUGUAGCAUCUGUUCUUAUCAAUUUAAUAUCUGAUGCUCCCUUAUCUGGGGACCAUAUAUUAAUUAAAUAAAAUUUUUUGAACAGGGAGAUGAGUGAAGAAGAACUUGCUCUGUCCACUACAAGCAUUGGCCUGGUAAGGCAGUACCUCCAGGACGGUGCACAAGAG